UACGGGGGGGGCAAGCGUUGUUCGGAAUUACUGGGCGUAAAGGGCUCGUAGGCGGCCAACUAAGUCAGACGUGAAAUCCCUCGGCUUAACCGGGGGAACUGCGUCUGAUACUGGAUGGCUUGAGAUUGGGAGAGGGAUGCGGAAUUCCAGGUGUAGCGGUGAAAUGCGCAGAUAUCAGGAAGAACACCCGUGGCGAAAGCGGCUCUCUGGAACGGUACUGAGCUGAGACGCGGAAGCGUGGGGGAGCGAACAGG
rnacentral:rRNA from 1 species